AGGUUAUACGAGUAAAGAAAACGAGGUGAUUGGCGGAACGGAAUAUAUGAAAUUUAACCGUUUGAGUGUGGUUGUCUGAUUAGUUGUCGUAUGUUAGCAUUGCGUCGACGAAGUUUCUAACAAAUGAGAUGUUUUUCAACUACAAUCAAAAUUUGUUUACUAUUUAUAUGAAAUGUUGACUGUGAAAAUAUUAAAAAAAUGAAGAGGUGUCGACUCUUUCGUGCUAAUGUUUGCAAAGACUAAAAAUACAUUUAUAUAUAUUAUGAAAUUUCGAUCUGGUUUUUCCAUUCGAUUUUGAUUUAUUUCUCUUUCUGGUCGAAAUAGAAUUUUGAAUGAUGGAUAAUCAUUUCAACAAGGAUAUAGUUCACAUCGCAGAAAUUAUUAAAGAUCGUUUGUAUUUUGCAACUUUUCGCAUCACAGGAAAAGUUAAGUCUACACAAACAAUUCACUAUUUUUGUAUAGAUGAAGAUUUAAUUUAUGAAAAAAAAUACAGAAGCUAUAUCCAAUUAAUGAUUCCAAUGUAUUGCAAAGAAGAGGUGUUACA